UCCUUGAAAAUAAUUACAGGUGACAUUUCC
rnacentral:piRNA from 1 species